AGGUUAUUUGUUAUGAUGAGGUUAUUUUGAACCCCCUUCUCUUCGCAGACUCCCAAGUCACAAACUCACAACCCUAAUUUCCUCUUCGAAGCCAAUCCCCACCUCCAAGGCUGGAACGCCACUGUCACCUCCAACAAACGCCUGAUCGAAGCUUCACCGUCGCAGACGAGGGAUCUUCUGGUCGUCGUCGGCCGUCUAGUCAUCGUCGGGCAUCUGGUCGUCGGCUUGUCAUCCUUGUCAUCGGCAUCGUCUAGUCAUCGUCGGGCAUCUGGUCGUCGUCGUCUGGCUGUGCUCUUCCGCCCCUUUUAGUUCUUCUUCCAAGAGCAUGGGUUAGCCGGAUAAUCGUUCUUAUUUCAAAGGAGGAGUUCUUUUAACUUUCACAAGAGCGUAUUCUAGGGACUUUGCUUUCACCUCUGUGAAAUGCUUGAGCAGUCGAGUUUCUUCCCUUUGUUCUUCAGGUUCUCUCUUUCUUUGCUAAGUUUCUUGAUGAGGCUGUGGGCAUCUUCAAAGCUAUAAAUUAUGGAAUUAGCCCUCUCUUUCCCUUUGUUAAUUGUUGAUUUAAUUGUCUAAUUGUUUGGAUUAUGACUUCUGAAUUUGUUUUCUGAACUUUUGAUGUCGAAUGUAAUUGAUAAUUUUCUGUUUUGAAUUUUUGGUGCUGCAUGUAUUGUUUGCUUCUUGAUGUGAUUAGAAAUUCUGUAAAUCUAUUCAACAAUCAAUAUUUAGUCAUUGGCUGUAACUGAAUUUAAUUUGUGUAAAUUUGUGUUUGUAACUUGUAGUUAUUACUAA